rnacentral:misc_RNA from 1 species
AGAAGGCCCGUUAUUGGAUCAGAUUCUGUCCAUAUGAUAUAAUUGAUAUUUUUGUAUACUCAUCACUGACCUGCGAAAACCACUAACAUUCUACAAUUGUUGCAGAUAUCUCCCUCCAGGAGUAGGGUUCCAUAUUUCUUUCACAAAUCAAUUUCCCUGGAUCUUACAGACCAUGUGUUUGGAAAAUCAAACUUUGUGAAGAGCACCCAUAAUCAUGAAAUUC